AAGCAAGAAACUCAUUAGUGCUAUGGUUUCGACCCAUAAAUAGAUACACUCUAUUGUAUCCUUGCUUU
rnacentral:tRNA from 1 species